rnacentral:rRNA from 1 species
GGGGGGGGGGGGGGGGGGGCGGAGGGGGGGGGGGGGGGGGGGGGCGGGGGGGGGGGGCGGGUGGGGGGCGGGGGAGGAAUACGGGGGAACGUGCGCGGGAGGGGGGGAUCGCCCGGCGAAGGCCGGAGUAAUGCCGCAUACGACCUAAGGGGGAACGGGGGGGGUCGCAAGGCCGCUCGCCAUUGGAGCGGCCGAUGUCAGAUUAGCUAGUUGGUGGGGUAAAAGCUCACGAAGGCGACCAUCUGUAGCUGGUCGGAGAGGACGACCAGACACACUGGGACUGAGACACGGCCCAGACUCCUACGGGAGGCAGCAGUGGGGAAUUUUGGACAAUGGGCGCAAGCCUGAUCCAGCCAUGCCGCGUGCGGGAAGAAGGCCUUCGGGUUGUAAACCGCUUUUGUCAGGGAAGAAAUCCUUUGGGUUAAUACCUCGGGGGGAUGACGGUACCUGAAGAAUAAGCACCGGCUAACUACGUG